rnacentral:rRNA from 1 species
CUUGUUGGUGGGGUAAUGGCCUACCAAGGCGACGACGGGUAGCCGGCCUGAGAGGGCGACCGGCCACACUGGGACUGAGACACGGCCCAGACUCCUACGGGAGGCAGCAGUGGGGAAUAUUGCACAAUGGGCGGAAGCCUGAUGCAGCGACGCCGCGUGAGGGAUGACGGCCUUCGGGUUGUAAACCUCUUUCACCCAUGACGAAGCGCAAGUGACGGUAGUGGGAGAAGAAGCGCCGGCCAACUACGUGCCAGCAGCCGCGGUAAGACGUAGGGCGCGAGCGUUGUCCGGAAUUAUUGGGCGUAAAGAGCUCGUAGGCGGCUUGUCGCGUCGGCUGUGAAAUCCCGUGGCUCAACUGCGGGUCUGCAGCCGAUACGGGCAGGCUAGAGUUCGGUAGGGGAGACUGGAAUUCCUGGUGUAGCGGUGAAAUGCGCAGAUAUCAGGAGGAACACCGAUGGCGAAGGCAGGUCUCUGGGCCGAUACUGACGCUGAGGAGCGAAAGCGUGGGGAGCGAACAGGAUUAGAUACCCUGGUAGUCCACGCUGUAAACGUUGGGCGCUAGGUGUGGGGGACCUCUCCGGUUCUCUGUGCCGCAGCUAACGCAUUAAGCGCCCCGCCUGGGGAGUACG